GCCGCUGUGGUGGAAUUGGUAGACACGCUACACUCAAAAUGUAGUGGGCUUCCCGUGUCGGUUCGAGUCCGACCAGCGGUA
rnacentral:tRNA from 1 species